AUUGAACGCUGGCGGCAUGCCUUACACAUGCAAGUCGAACGGCAGCGGGGGAGAAGCUUGCUUUUCCUGCCGGCGAGUGGCGCACGGGUGAGUAAUACAUCGGAACGUGCCCUGUAGUGGGGGAUAACUAGUCGAAAGAUUAGCUAAUACCGCAUACGACCUGAGGGGGAAAGUGGGGGACCGCACGGCCUCAUGAUAUAGGAGCGGCCGAUGUCUGAUUAGCUAGUUGGUGGGGUAAAGGCCUACCAAGGCGACGAUCAGUAGCUGGUCUGAGAGGACGAUCAGCCACACUGGGACUGAGACACGGCCCAGACUCCUACGGGAGGCAGCAGUGGGGAAUUUUGGACAAUGGGCGAAAGCCUGAUCCAGCAAUGCCGCGUGUGUGAAGAAGGCCUUCGGGUUGUAAAGUACUUUUGUCCGGAAAGAAAUGGCUCUGGUUAAUACCUGGGGUCGAUGACGGUACCGGAAGAAUAAGGACCGGCUAACUACGUGCCAGCCGCCGCGGUAA
rnacentral:rRNA from 1 species